rnacentral:lncRNA from 1 species
GUCAAAUUUUAGAGAGCUAACUGCGACACAAUAAUUAUGAAACUGGAACUUCAAAUUGUUAAUUAAGUUCCAAAUACUCGUGACAAACAAAAACAAUAUAGAGUAAAUGGUGUAUGAUUUUAUGGAACUGGGAAAAAAGCAGUAAAUUAAGUACAAAUGAAGGAAUUCCCCUUGUCAUGAAGGUGUAGCAAUUAAAAUCCAAAAUCUAAGUUAUUUGAUAUCUGAGUCAUUCAGUCAAAGUCAAUAAUUAAUUUUCACUAUAUAUUUUUAUAAGAUCUAUAAUUUUUCAACUACACAUUUUAUCAACUUAUAUCAAAAUCUACUAAAAAUCUGAUUUUAAUCUACAAAACACAGGAGCUUAAUAACAUUUGGAUCCCUAGUGGAUCCCUACUAGGCCCCUUUUUGGGGGAAAUUUUUAGGGCAAAAAAUUGAAUUUUUUGACCGUUGGCCACCCAUUUGCAGUCAUCUUUGUUGACCAAAGCUCUCCGGGUGGGUCCCGACAAACCAAAAAGGGUAAAAAUAAUAAUAAUAAUAAUAAUUGCUCUUUUAUUUUAUUUUAUAUUAUAUUUUGGAAAAGCUGCAACAAACAGCCGCUAGGUCUCCAGUGUGAAAGGUCGUCCCGUCGGUAUUCAGCAAAAGCUAGCUAACUUCUCAAUGAUCAGAACACUAGGAUUUGCAACGUCCUCAUUUUCUUCUUGCAGGUAAGUGUUAAGGCCUUUCUUCUAUACUUUUUGAAAUGCAAAAACCGAGCUUCUUAUUCCGACGCUUGGCAACUUUGGCAGCAGCACACAUAUUUCAUUUUUGUCGUUAUCUUUGGCAGUAGCAGCAUUUUUGUUGGUGACAUUAUCAUCAUCGUCCUCGCUUGAACUACAAGCUCUUAAUCUAAUGCAUCCUUCACAAAAAAUUUCAACCUCCACAAAGUAGAUUCAUGCUGCAUUUCACCGAGAUAUGCAUAUGCCAAGAGAAUAUUACCCAAAAAGUGUACAGCACAAAGUUUAUAUGAACCUGUGCAUUGAAGUCAAGCUCCACGUUUUCAGCUGUCGAUGGGAAGCAGCUAUUAUAUCUAGUGCCUUGCUAUCUUCAGGACAUAAUUUGGAGAGAUCAAUCCCAAGUUUUCUUUUCUCCACCAUAGAUACAUAUACGUCUGGAGUAAUGCUUUCAUAAGUACCAUUGGGUGACGACAAGAUAUGAAGAAAAAAUAACCACAGUUGUAAAUAAAUUACUCAUCAAAAUCCUGAUGGAUCCAAUACUUCAUUUUCAAUUAUCAUUUCCUCCAUCUGGCCCUAAGCAUGUUCAUCCCUACACAAUUGAACACGCGAGUGAAUAUGUCUGUGGUCAGGAAAAGUAAAAAAGCUAAAAUAUUUACAUAUAGAUACAAAGCAGAAAUGCCUGAUAUAAAGGACAAACCAGUCUAUUCAAUUUCAGGCAUGAGAAACAUAACGUCCUUAGAAUGAGUUAAUGCUAGUGCCAGUGUUGAUUGAAGUAGAGGGGGAAGGAGUCGGAGGAACCGACAGGCGACUGAGGAAUGCAUCCUUACUUCUGAGAUAUAAACCACAAAACGUGAAUACAAUGGCAAAACAAGCAUUAGUUCUGACCUGCAUCUUUUAACGAUCAUCUCUCCGAGUUCGUCAAUAUGCAUGUCAACCUCAUAGAGCUUUAACAAAUUUAAAACGGAUUAUCAACUCUUUUAAGGCGGUAACUGACACGACCCAUCUCGAAUUAUCUCAGUGGACUCUACACGUGUCGUACGCCGAUGGUAGAUAACAGCUAAACGUUGGACUCACCACCAAGGCAACUUUGACUUGCUUGACUGAAAAAUAUUUUUAACAAAAUUUUGACAAAGUUUCCUUUAAAAUAUGAAUUAAAACCAUCUGAACAAUAACCAAGUUUCCUAAAUUCAAUACCUAUAAAAUAAAACAGAAUACGCAAGUCCCUCAGAAUACAAACUAUUCAAAUAAAAUGCGGGUCAUUCAAUAUUUACUUGUUUUACAACCAACAAUCCUCAAACAUACCAAAUACGUCAAAUAUGUAAUGUGCCCAUGGUGAAUUUUUCUUAUUUAAGAUACAUGUACUCCAAAAGAACACAUUGUAAAAGGAUGUCAUACAACCUAUGAAGCGUAACUCAAUUCGAUGGUUUAACAGGGUCCAAAGCUGCUCAAUUCGACUGCUAUCUGAUAAAAAAAUGGCGAAAAGAUGUAUAAGCUUAUAGCUUAGUGAGUGGAUAAUUUGCAAAUAAAUAUACUUUUUUAUUUAUGUAUAUUUUCUGAAAAUUCUUGAACUACUAAAACUUCUAGAAAUUUUGAAAUUUGGUAACACUUUUAAAACUAAACAUAAUUUCAUCAUAAAAUUCUUUGUUCUUAAUCCUAGAUAAGCAGCUGUAAAGUAUAAUGACAUAAAUAAUAUGAUAUCCAUAAAAAUCUAUGAAAUAUUCCUGCUGCUCAAUAUUAUAAGCUGAAAGCUUUAUUCUGAAAACUGAAUUAACUGAAUUCUAUAAUCUGAAAUUUGAUAAGUUGUAGAAAUACUGAAAAAUCACAUCAAAAAAGUACUCAAUGAUUAACUUUACUCAUGUAUCGAUUAGUGCCGAUAUACAUGGCAAAGCUAUUCAAUUCUAUAAUUCUGGAAUUCUUAAAUUCUGUAAUUCUUAAAUUCUGGUCAUACGCACGCGGAGCUGAAAUUCUGGUCACAUACUAUGAAAACACAUUAACAAUAGUGCAGAGCAAGUAAAAUCACAAUAACUGGUCAUACACUGUGGAAACACAUUCACACAAGUGCAGAGCGAGUAAAAUAACCAUAUGGGAUCAUACAUUGUGGAAACACAUUUACACUAGUGUAGACUAGGGUAAAUUACCUCGGUACUUUUUGGUGAUUUUAAAAAUAAUUUUAAAUAUGCUGAAUUAUUUAAUAUUGAAAUAGUAUGCCAAUGAAAUAAUUUAACUGAAUUGAAUUUAACUUUAAAAAUAAUUGUUUAUAUCAACUUUAUUCUAAAAAUCGUGCUAUCAAAUCAACUGUAUGAUAUAAUAAAAUUUUUGAUCUAAGAUAAAUUUAAUAAAUAUUAAUUUAUGAAAAAUAAUUUUUUAUUCACUCACAGCUCUAUAGAUAAAAAUCUGGCUAAAUUAACGGAUAUCUCUAAACUUCCACGUCAUUACCUAAAAUAACAGUAUAAUAACUCAAAUUAAAAUAUGACAAUUAAACUAAUGCAAAGUCACCACUUAAUUCCUCAACUUUCAAAUUUUCUCUUGAAUCUCCAUUUCUCGAAACUUGAAUGAAUUCUCAAUUUUUCUUCUCUAAUGAUUUAUCAACUAAUCAUUAUUCAUUAUCAAAUCCAUUAAAUCACUUGCACUUGCUUAAAUUCAAUACCUUAUACAUAAUUUAGUCUACUACAUAAACUUCAAUAUUUGUCAUAUAAUUUUAUUCGAGCCCUUAAAAUGUGAAAAUCAAAGAUUAGACAAAAACAAUACUAAAACUCCAGAAUAUGGAACUGUAAAACAAGUUUCUGUACACUGAAAAUUAUCAGCAAAACAAUUGACAGAAAUGGCAUUUUUCUGGGCAAAAUUACAAAAUCAGCACCUGUGUAGGAUUUUGUUCAAAAUUUGCUUAUAAUACUUACUUAAAAAUAGCGAAAUCAACCCCCAAUUCCUUAAUUUAAAUGUUUGACAUUAUAGAAUCUCAAGAAAAUUAAAGAGUAACUAUCUAUUUAAUAAACCCAUUUUCAAAGUUUCAUUUUCUUCAACACCCAUCUUUCAAUAUGAAAUUCUUUGACAUGUUCAUGUUUAAUACCUCAAAUAUAUGUCAAUAACCUCUAAUUCUUGCUAAACUUCGAAUGAAGGCAAAUUGUUCGUAAACCCUAAAAAUUUAAUUAAAAUAUUUUCACUUACCUUUUGAGUAGAAGGAGAAAUUGAAAACCUAUACUUGAAGAAUGGACACUACAUCUUCCUUCUUCCUCUUCCUCUUUCUUUUUUCCCCCUUUUUCUUUCUCUUCCUCUUUCCCUCGAUUUUUCCAGGUUCUUCUCUGCGUUCCUGGCUCUAUGGAUAUGUAUGUAUAUGUAAAAUGAAUUGGCAAUUGGGUUUUAAAUGGCCCAUUAACUUCCUUUUGCAAAAGUAGUCCCUUACUUUCAAUAAUAUAUAAGUAAAUUCUCAAAAUUAAAUUUUAUCCAUCUUGAAUCUUCAAUUUUUAUAAAUUGUAAAAUAAACCUCAAUAAAAUAAUUUGGUCAAUUUAACACCCAAUAAAAUCAUUUCUUUCAUUUAAGUCCCUAGUUGACUUGGAUUUUGAAUAUUCAACUUUUGACUUUGACUAAAUAAUAUGGGUAGUAACAGUAACACUUUGAAAAAAAAUACACAUUUGAAUGGAAUGCUCGAGGGUACGAACAAUUAGGCAAUUUCUUUUCCUUCAUAGUUUCACAACCAAAACUAUUAAGGAGUGUAUAGUUCGAAGGACUCGGCUAAUGAUCUAUGAGAUUCAUUGGAGAAAAAAGUACAAACCGAGGAUGUCAGAAGAAAAAAAGUUCAUAGUUGGCAAAUUUUUGAACUAUAAAAUAGUAGAUUCCAAAAUCUUAAUAAGUCAAGUACAAGAACUUCAAGUUCUACUUCAUGACAUAUAUGCGAAAAGAGGACCUAAGUGAAUCUUCCCAAGUUGCAGCCAUCAUUGAAAAAACUCCCGUCAUUAUGAAAGAUUUCAAGAUCUAUCUCAAGGACAAAUGCAAUGAGAUGAAGUUGGAAGAACUGAUAGUCUGUUUGAGAAUUGAAGAAGACAAUAGAAAAAUCAAAAGAAGGUAUAUUGUCCAACUUGGAAUGAACUUUGUAGAAAUUGGUUCGAAAGUUGUCAAUAAGACGUGUUAGAUCUCUAGUGAUGCACCUCGAAGAGAUAACUCCAAGAAAGCCAAAGAAUUUAAAGGCAACUAUUACAAUUGUAGAGAAGUUGAACAUCAUUCAAAUGAAUGUUAAAAGCCUAGAAAAAAUGCACAUGCAAAUGUGGUAGAAGGAAUCUAUCUGCAAUUGUUUUUUAAUGUAACAACGUCGGAAAUUUAAGGGAGUGGUGGGUUGAUACUUGUGCUACCGUCACGUGUGUGCAGACAAGACAAUGUUUUCUAACUACAAAGAAUUGGAUGGAAAACAACUCUUCAUGGGAAAUUCUGUAAGCUUUAAAGUUGAAGGAUAAGGAAAGUUAUUUUGAAGAUGACAUCUGGUAAAGAAUUUGUCCUCAACAAUGUCCUACAUAUACCAGGCAUUUGCAAUAAUCUUAUUUCCAAAUCUCUACUUGGAAAAAAAUGGCUUCAAGCUUGUAUUUGUAUCCGAUGUACUCACUAAGAAUGUGAUGUAUGUUGGGAAAUGAUACAUGUGUGAUGCAAUGUUCAAAAUGAAUGUUCCUACAAUUGUACUAAAGCAGAGCAUCAUGAAUAAAUAUUUUAAUUAAGUUUAUAUAUUUGAGUUAUCUUAUUUGUGGUAUAGUUAAUUAGGAUACAUCAAUUACAAAUUUUUGGGCAAACUUAUGAAUCAAAGUUUAAUUUUGGAACUUAAGAUUGAUCCUAAUCAUAAAUGUGAAAUAUGUGUUGAAGCAAAGUUCGUUAAAAUAUCAUUUCACUCUAUUCAAAGGAACCCGACACCUUUAGGAUUAAUACAUAGCAAUAUUUGUAAUUUGAAAUUUGUUUAAACUAAAGGUGGUAAAAAAUACUUCAUUAUUUUCAUUGAUGAUUGUACAAGUUUGUACUAAGGAGUAAAGAUAAAGCUUUAGAUGCCUUCAAAUAUUACAAGGCAGAAGUUGAGACUCAACUUGGUAAACGAAUAAAAAAUAUUCGUAGUGAUAGAAGAGAAGAAUAUGAUGCACCAUUUGAAGAAUUUUGUUCAGAACAUGGAAUCAUUCAUUAAACAACAAUAUUUUACUCACCUCAAUUGAAUGAGAUUACUGAACGCAAAAAUCGAACUCUUAAAAAUAAUGAACGCAAUGUUGUUAAGUUUGGGUCUAACAUGGAACUUGUGGGGAAAAGCUAUUUCAACUACAAAUAUUAUUCUUAACAAAAUAUCCCUUAAGAAAAUGGAAGAAGCUCUGUAUGAAUUAUGGAAAGGACAUCCUACCAACACUUGAAAGUAUGGGGUGUUUGGCUAAGGUUGAAAUACCUAAACCUUGAUUGUAUAUUUAUUGGACGUGCCAAUAAUAGUAGUGUUUACUGUUUCGUUGUACACAAAUUUGAAGUUCAAAAUGUAUAUGAAGGAACCAUAAAGAAUGGGUUAUUCUUCGAAAAUGUUUUUCCAUGUAAAGACAAGAAGAGUGCAAGUUCAAAUAAAAGGACUUAUGAUACUACAAAUAACACUUUAAAUGAGGAAGAACCAAGAUGUAGGACUAGAACAUACGUGAUGUUUGGUCCAUAUUUUCUAACCUAUAUGGUAGAGAAUGAUCCAAAGAGUUUUAAUGAAGAAACGUCUACACCGGAUGCACCGCAUUGGAAAGAAGCUUUCAAUGAAAAGAUAAAUUCUAUAUGGAAAACCAUACUUGAGAUUAGUUGAUUUAUCUUCUGGAAAUAAGCAUUUAGGGUGUAAAAAAAUUUUUAAGAAGAAACUCAAACCGGAUGGAUUUAUUGAUAAAUAUAAGGCUUGAUUAGUUGUCGAAAUAUAUAGACAAAAUGAAGGACUUGACUUCUUUGAUACUUACUCACUACUAACAAGAAUCACUUCAAUAAAGUUGUUAAUUGCAAUUGUGGAAUUCACAAUCUCGAGAUCAUCAAAUGGAUGUAAAAAUGCCAUUCUGAAAUGGUGAGUUAGAAGAUGAGCUUUAUAUGGAGCAACCCAAAGUAUUGGUCUUUCCUAAUCACCAACAAAAGGUUUAAACUCGACAAGUCCUUUUAUAGAUUGAAACAAGNAUAAAGCUUUAACAAAUAUAAAACGGAUUAUCAACUCUUUUAAGGCGGUAACUGACACGACCCAUCUCGAAUCAUCUCAGUGGACUCUACACGUGUCGUGCACCGAUGGUAGAUAACAGCUAAACGCUGGACCCACCACCAAGGCAACUUUGACUUGCUUGACUGAAAAAUAUUUUUAACAAAAUUUUGACAAAGUUUCCUCUAAAAUAUAAACUAAAACCAUCUGAACAAUAACCAAGUUUCCUCAAUUCAAGCCCCAAGGCACGUCUCCAAGUGGUAAAAGGGGAGGGUGGAGAAAUCCAGCUUUACUUGAAGCUACUGCGUCAAGAGUUCGAAUCCUGAAAUAUGGAUUUGGCUCUUGGGUAAGUGCAAGUGUACAAGCAACCUUCCACCCUAUAUCCUUGGAGGCAUAACCUGCGAUUUACCUCCCUCAUUAUGCUCCAGGACAGGAGUGGUGGGGGACCCUUAAGGUUAGAGUUUAACCUUUUUUUUUUUUAAAUUUCCUCAAUUCAAUACCUAUAAAAUAAAACAGGAUACACCAGUCCCUCAGAAUACAAACUAUUCAAAUAAAAUGCGGGCAAUUCAAUAUACUUGUUUUACGACCAACAAUCCUCAAACACACCAAAUACGUCAAAUAUGUAAUGUGCCCAUGAUGAAUUUUUCUUAUUUAAGAUACAUGUACUCCAAAAGAACACAUAUUGUAAAAGGAUGUCAUACAACCUACGAAACGUAACUCAAUUCGAUGGUUUAACAGGGUCCAAAGCUGCUCAAUUCGGCUGCUAUUUGAUAAAAAAAUGGCGAAAAGAUGUAUAAGCUUAUAGCUUAGUGAGUGGAUAACUUGCAAAUAAAUAUAUUUUUCUAUUUAUAUAUAUUUUCUGAAAAUUCUUGAACUACUAAAACUUCUAGAAAUUUUGAAAUCUGAUAACACUUUUAAAACUAAACAUAAUUUCAUCAUAAAAUUCUUUGUUCUUAAUCCUAGAUAAGCAACUGUAAAGUAUAGUGACAUAAAUAAUAUGAUAUCCAUGAAAAUCUAUGAAAUAUUCACGCUGUUCAAUAUUAUAAGCUGAAAGCUUUAUUCUAAAAACUGAAUUAACUGAAUUCUAUAAUCUGAAAUUUGAUAAGUUGUAGAAAUACUGAAAAAUCACAUCAAAAAAGUACUCAAUGAAUAACUUUACUCAUGUAUCGAUUAGUACCGAUAGACAUGGCAAAGCUAUUCAAUUCUAUAAUUCUGAAAUUCUGUAAUUUUGAAAUUCUAAAAUUCUGGUCAUACGCGGGCGGAGCUGAAAUUCUGGUCACAUACUAUGGAAACACAUUCACAAUAGUGCAGAGCAAGUAAAAUCACAAUAACUGGUCAUACACUAUGGAAACACAUUCACGCAAGUGCAGAGCAAGUAAAAUAACCAUAUGGGAUCAUGCACUGUGAAAACACAUUCAUACUAGUGUAGACUAGUGUAAAUUACCUUGGUACUUUUUGGUGAUUUUAAAAUUUUUUUUAAAUAUGCUGAAUUAUUUAAUAUUGAAAUAGUAUGCCACUGAAAUAAUUUAACUGAAUUGAAUUUAACUUUAAAAAUGAUUGCUUAUAUCAACUUUAUUAUAAAAAUCGUGCUAUCAAAUCAACUGUAUGAAAUAAUAAAAUUUUUAAUCUAAGAUAAAUUUAAUAAAUAGUAAUUUAUGAAAAAUAAUUUUUUAUCCACUCACAGCUCUAUGGAUAAAAAUUUGGCUAAAUUAACGGGCAUCUUUAAACUUUCACGUCAUUACCUAAAAUAACAGUAUAAUAACUCAAAUUAAAAUAUGACAAUUAAACUAAUGCAAAGUCACCACUUAAUUCCUCAACUUUCAAAUUUUCUCUUGAAUCUCCAUUUCUCGAUACUUGAAUGAAUUCCCAAUUUUUCUUCUCUAAUGAUUUAUCAACUAAUCAUUAUUCAUUAUCAAAUCCAUUAAAUCACUUGCACUUGCUUAAAUUCAAUACCUUAUACAUAAUUUAGUCUACUACAUAAUUUAGAAAAAAACAAUACUAAAAUUCCAGAAUAUGGAAGUGUAAAACAAGUUUCUGUACACCGAAAAUUAUCACCAAAACAAUUGACAGAAAUGGCAUUUUUCUGGGCAAAAUUACAAAAUCAGCACCUGUGUAGGAUUUUGUUCAAAAAUUGCUUAUAAUACUUACUUAAAAAUAGAGAAAUCAACCCCCAAUUCCUUAAUUUAAAUGUUUGACGUUAUAUGAUCUCAAGAAAAUUAAAGAAUAACUAUCUAUUUAAUAAACCCAUUUUCAAAGUUUCAUUUUCUUCAACACCCAUCUUUCAAUAUGAAAUUAUUUGACAUGUUCAUGUUUAAUACCUCAAAUAUAUGUCAAUAACCUCUAAUUCUUGCUAAACUUCGAAUGAAGGCAAAUUGUUCGUAAACCCUAAAAAUUUAAUUAAAAUAUUUUCACUUACCUUUUGAGUAGAAGGAGAAAUUGAAAACCUAUACUUGAAGAAUAGACACUACAUCUUCCUUCUUCCUCUUCCUCUUUCUUUUUUUCCCCCUUUUUCUUUUUCUUCCUCUUUCUCUCGAUUUUUCCAGGUUCUUCUCUGCGUUCC